rnacentral:rRNA from 1 species
UACGGGGGGAGCAAGCGUUGUUCGGAUUUACUGGGCGUAAAGGGCGCGUAGGCGGCCACCGCAAGUCAGUUGUGAAAUCUCUGGGCUUAACCCAGAACGGUCAGCUGAUACUGCGGGGCUAGAGUGCAGAAGGGGCAACUGGAAUUCUCGGUGUAGCGGUAGAAAUGCGUAGAUAUCGAGAGGAACACCUGCGGCGAAGGCGGGUUGCUGGGCUGACACUGACGCUGACAGCGCGAAAGCUAGGGGAGCGAACGGG